UGGCUCAGAGGUUAAAGCGUCUGCUUGCAAUGCAGGAGAUCUGGGUUCGAUCCCUG
rfam:TPA: Bos taurus chromosome 21, whole genome shotgun sequence.